UACCCUACACUUUUAAAUCUGAUACGACACAUCCAUUUUUCACUUUUAUUCAAUUAAAAAUUUUAAAGGUUAAUUUUGAAAAAAAAAUUUUAGGGUAAAUUUCACCGACUUCUGUCCCCCUGUAAUUUUAAAAAUAACAUCGACCUUCCUUAUUUUUAAAAUUAUUAUCAAGAUUUCUCAUUUGAGCUAAUUUUUUAGCAAAAUAACAAUCUUGUCAUUAUAUUUAGGCUUUUAAUUUUUUUUUUAUCAAUAUACUUAUUACAAAAAUAAAUAUUUUUUUCACAAAGCACCAUUUAUUUAUAAACUUUUCUAUUUUUAUUUUUUAUUAAUAAAUAAUUUUUUUAAAAAAUAAUUGAUCUAUAUAGUUUACUUUUAAAGUACCCACAAUCAAAAUAUACUUAAAAAAUAAAUUUCGUUAUCUAUUUGCUUUUAAAAAAACUAGAAUAUUUUAUUUAUUUUAAUGGAUUUAUUGAGAAAAUAAAUUUGAAAGUCCUAAAUAUAAGGCAAAGUUAUUUUUCUUAAAAAAUAGUUUCAAAUGAAUUUUGACAAUAGUUUCAACAGUUAGUUAGAUUAGUUUUAUUUCAUAAAUCUAUAUGUGAAGUAACUACAUUUAUUAGAAACCUCAUGGACGUUCAAUAAAAUUAACCCCAAAAGUGUUAUUCUUGUACAAACUAAUAAAUUUAUAAUAAAUUUCACUAACAUCCCCUAAGAUUUUUAAAAACUACAGCCAUUCUCAUAUAGUUAUCAAAAUAGAACUAACAUCUCUUACUUUUGAAACUAAUAUCAAGAUUCCAUCAUAACUAUUUUUUGUGCAAAAAUGACAAACUUGUUAUUUGAUUUAGGACUUUCAAAUAUUUUUUUCUCAAUACACCAAUUAAAAUAAAUAAAUACUAUUUUUUUUCUCAAACACCAUUUAUUUGUACAUGACUCUAUUUUUAAUUUUUAUUAAUAAGUAUUUUUUUAAAAAAACAAUUGACUUAAAUAUUUUAUUUUUUUAUAUUACUGAUAAAAAUAUACUUAAAAAUAAAAUUUUGUUAUCAAUAAUUUUUUUAAGAGAACAAUUAGUUUAAAUAUUUUACUUUUUAAUUAAUUCUAAUCUAAACAUAUUAAAAAAUUAACUUUAUUAUUUUUUUUAAAAAAUAAUAUUUACUUAUUUUAAUUAGUGUAUAAAGAGAAAUAAAUAUAAAGGCCUAAAUCAAAUGGUAAUAUUAUUAUUUUUAUAAAAAAAAUAGUUUCAAGAGAAAUUUUGUCAUUAAUUUCAAAAAUAAGGGAGAUCGGUGCUAUUUUUCAAACCAUAGGGUGAUGACUGUAUUUGUCAGAAACUUCAAAAAAAUUGAAUGAAUUUUUUUUAUUAAUUCUAUAAACUUUUCUCAUUUAUUGAUAUGUCAACCAAAGAGAGAAUUUUAAUAAUUGAAAUUUGGUCAACUAAACUGAUGUGAUAUAAAUAACUUAUUUUAGAAAAUUAAUUUUUUUUAGAGGUUACAAUAAAAAUGUUAUGGUCUAAAAUUUAAAAAUAAAUAAAUUAUAAUUUAAAGUAAAUAAUUCAGAUUUAAUUUAGUUUACUGAAUAAUAAAUUAUAAUUACGGAGUCCCAUUUAUCCACAAUAAUUGAAUUGAUGGGAAAGUGUGGACAAACAUCAUGAUUAGGUUGUGGAUGACCAGGACAUGACAGCCAACUUGGUGAGCGUGAAAUCAGGAGUUGGGGAAACGUGAAACUUCAGUGAAAGUGUACUGUGAGAAAUUAACUAGGGUUAGGUUUGUGUUUGGUAAACUCAAAUCUAGUUCCACUCCUCUCCUUCUGAGAAAUUAACUAGGGUUAGGUUUGUGUUUGGUAAACUCAAAUCCAGUUCCACUACUCUCCUUCUGGAAAUCGGCUCAGAGGCUCUCAUCCACAGCUUGGCUUGGCUUUCACGGGCUGGCGUUUUUAGGAAUGGCAAUUAUCUGAAAAAAUCGGGUUCCCGCCCUCCCCAACCUUAAUAGGGCGGGUUUGGAGUAUGGAUAAAAGGGUUCGGGUGCGUUAUAAAAAAAAAUUAAAACUCGGGUUAGGUUCGGGUUUAGACGCUCCAAACCCGCCCCGAUUAACUAUAAAUUGAUAAAAUUAUCCUUUUUUUAAAGGUAAAUUACACUGACCUCCCUGAGGUUUCAGGUUAAUACACAAAGUACUCCUGACGUUGAGAAAUUAUAAUGACCUCUUUGAAUUUUGAAACUUGUAACAGAUUCUCCUAUUUUACACUACCAUCUUUGGCGUUUCCGGGUUUAAUACAAACACAAAACCAUCUAACGUCAAAUCAAUAUCUUUUAAUCUAAAAGACAAAACACAUAAUUUUUGUCAGAAGUGCUUUUGUGUAUUAACUCAGAACCUCAUGGUGGUCAGUGUAAAUGAGAGAAUCUGUUAUAAGUUUUCAAACCAGGCGGGAUGAAUUUCAUUUUCUCAAUAUCAGGGGUUACUUGUUUUUAACUUGGAACCUCAGGGGAAUAGUGUAAUUUAUGCUUUUUUUUGA
rnacentral:lncRNA from 1 species